rnacentral:rRNA from 1 species
GGCGGGCGGCUGAUAUACAUCGGACGUGCCCUGUAGUGGGGGAUAACUAGUCGAAAGACUAGCUAAUACCGCAUWCGACCUGAGGGUGAAAGUGGGGGACCGCAAGGCCUCAUGCUAUAGGAGCGGCCGAUGUCUGAUUAGCUAGUUGGUGGGGUAAAGGCCCACCAAGGCGACGAUCAGUAGCUGGUCUGAGAGGACGAUCAGCCACACUGGGACUGAGACACGGCCCAGACUCCUACGGGAGGCAGCAGUGGGA